AACUAUAGGUGUUUCGUUCUUGACACUUUCAUGACAAUACGUGAGACGAGUUGCGAGACGUAGCUUUCUGCAUUGUUUACUUUUUGUUUGGUUGUGUCGUUAUGGUUUCAUAUCAACUCGCUGAGGAAAACAACUGAAGAAAGAAAUAAGCAAAUAUAUAUUCGUGAAAAAUAGUGUACUAGAGCUGCAAUAAGAUGCCGUAUUAUUGUGCAGUAAAAGGAUGCGGAAACAAGGUCCGCAUAACGAAAAACAACCCGGACAUUGUUUACCACACUUUCCCCCGAGAUGGAGAUAGACUUCAUAAAUGGAUACUUUUCUGUGGCCAAUCGAAGGAUUGGAAGCCUCAGAAAAAUCAAGGGCUGUGUGGUAUAC